rnacentral:rRNA from 1 species
CCUACGGGAGGCAGCAGUGGGGAAUAUUGCGCAAUGGGGGAAACCCUGAUGCAGCAACGCCGCGUGAGUGAAGAAGUAUCUCGGUAUGUAAAGCUCUAUCAGCAGGGAAGAAAAUGGCGAUGCCUGCCUAAGCAUCCCCGGCUAACUACGUGACAGCAGCCGCGGUAAUACGUAGGGGGCAAGCGUUAUCCGGAUUUACUGGGUGUAAAGGGAGCGUAGACGGGGUGGCAAGUCUGAAGUGAAAACCCGGGGCUCAACCCCGGGACUGCUUUGGAAAGUGGAAUGCUGGAGUGCUGGAGAGGUAAGCGGAAUUCCUAGUGUAGCGGUGAAAUGCGUAGAUAUUAGGAGGAACACCAGUGGCGAAGGCGGCUUACUGGACAGUAACUGACGUUGAGGCUCGAAAGCGUGGGGAGCAAACAGGAUUAGAUACCCGAGUAGUC